rnacentral:rRNA from 1 species
UCGAGCGGAAACGACACUAACAAUCCUUCGGGUGCGUUAAUGGGCGUCCAGCGGCGGACGGGUGAGUAAUGCCUAGGAAAUUGCCUUGAUGUGGGGGAUAACCAUUGGAAACGAUGGCUAAUACCGCAUAAUGCCUACGGGCCAAAGAGGGGGACCUUCGGGCCUCUCGCGUCAAGAUAUGCCUAGGUGGGAUUAGCUAGUUGGUGAGGUAAUGGCUCACCAAGGCGACGAUCCCUAGCUGGUCUGAGAGGAUGAUCAGCCACACUGGAACUGAGACACGGUCCAGACUCCUACGGGAGGCAGCAGUGGGGAAUAUUGCACAAUGGGCGAAAGCCUGAUGCAGCCAUGCCGCGUGUAUGAAGAAGGCCUUCGGGUUGUAAAGUACUUUCAGUUGUGAGGAAGGGGGUAGUGUUAAUAGCGCUAUCUCUUGACGUUAGCAACAGAAGAAGCACCGGCUAACUCCGUGCCAGCAGCCGCGGUAAUACUGAGGGUGCGAGCGUUAAUCGGAAUUACUGGGCGUAAAGCGCAUGCAGGUGGUUCAUUAAGUCAGAUGUGAAAGCCCGGGGCUCAACCUCGGAACUGCAUUUGAAACUGGUGAACUAGAGUACUGUAGAGGGGGGUAGAAUUUCAGGUGUAGCGGUGAAAUGCGUAGAGAUCUGAAGGAAUACCAGUGGCGAAGGCGGCCCCCUGGACAGAUACU